GAGAUAGCGGGCGCACUUUGUUUUCCGUCCUACGAAGAAUUCCGAGUUCAGACGUCCUCGCUGUAGAGCAUCAUCGCACCCUCUCACUGCCAGCGACGAGUCCGCAGGCCAAACGAACGUGCGCCCGGCCAACUUCUCCUCCCGCAAACCAACGGUUUAAGCCGCCGAACCCCCACGGAUCCGCCCGGAGCCCCUUUGUGUGACUAAAUUUGGCUGGAAUAUGGAUCCGAGCCAGUCUUUCCACGUGUGCUCCCAGCUCCCAGCUGAGAAGGCCAAGGGUUCUCUUCCGGCAUGUAAGCUCUGCGAAGACAAGGGCGCUGCCUGUGGAUCGCAGUGUACCGGGUGCCUAGAACAAUUCCUGCCAGAGUGGACACUCAGUCAGCAUCCACUGAAUGUUUCUAGAAGGAGCGACUAAAAUACUGAUGGUCAUUUUCUCUGAAUAGUGGGUCAUUUUUGCUUCUUUGUGCUUUUAAAAACAUGUAUAUGCAAUGAACCAAUGUUGUUAAAGAAGAUUUUAAAAUGUUAAAAUGUAAUAUGAU